UUCUGUCAGUUCCACACCCCCACACUCCACACAAACUUAUUCAUACACACUCAAGUAUCCCAGGAAUUGCAUCACUGAAAUGCAUUCAAGAUCCCAUGGAUCAUCACGAGGCCCAUAAUGCCUCCCAUUUUCUCCUUUUUUUUGCUUCCCUCCAUCUGCACAGGAGAUUAUCUUGAACUCCAUUCACUUUCAGUCCUCUGCUUCUUUCUUCAUCUUCCUUUUUUCUUCCAUUUUCCUCGCUCUCAGGCUACACCUCAAGCCAUUGAUCACCAGGCGGGCCAGACCAGCCUCACUUGUUGAUCGACAGCUCUGAGAGCUGUGGCUAACCGGCGGGAGUAAUGGAUCGGUGCCGCUCGGUCUAAAUCUUCUCCAAACAGCGAAUCAGUACAGCCUACUGCUCAGUAUAAGCACCCAACAAUGAAGAGCAGGCAGGCGGCCAAUCAGCACGGGGCUGAGCAAUGAUGGGACAUGCUGCUUUAUGACCUUUCAGGCGGCCAUUUAUCUCAGGGUCAGAGACCUUGAAAAUUCAACUGUGAUUUGGCAGCGACGCGAGCAAAUCCAGCCCUCAAAUCUGCCCAGACUGGCAGGAGCUUACACACUAGCUCAGGAAGUGGAAAUUACACAGCAGGGUGAGAAAACAACUAAUUUGUUGUUUCAUGAGAAUGAGUGCAGACAAGAGACCGCCUCUGCUUACUGUCAUCUAGAACUGAGACAGUUUCCCUCGGGGCGAGAGAUGUUUUUUUCGGCUCGCAGUCUUCCUGGCAGAGGAGAAACACCGGUCGUAUUUCCAGCCCGUUUGACAGAAAAAACAUACAUUUUUUUAAAAGUCAAAUCUUACAUGUCACCAAAAUAUUAAAAGCUGCAACAUAACUUGUAGCUGAGGAGGAAGCAUUCAGGCUCCCUGCCCUGAAAUGUCAAUGGCUAC